rnacentral:misc_RNA from 1 species
GAUGAAGAACGCAUCGAAAUGCGAUAAGUAAUGUGAAUUGCAGAAUUCAGUGAAUCAUCGAAUCUUUGAACGCACAUUGCGCCCCCUGGUAUUCCGGGGGGCAUGCCUGUUCGAGCGUCAUUUCACCACUCAAGCCUCGCUUGGUAUUGGGCAACGCGGUCCGCCGCGUGCCUCAAAUCGUCCGGCUGGGUCUUCUGUCCCCUAAGCGUUGUGGAAACUAUUCGCUAAAGGGUGUUCGGGAGGCUACGCCGUAAAACAACCCCAUUUCUAAGGUUGACCUCGGAUCAGGUAGGGAUACCCGCUGAACUUAAGCAUAUCAAUAAGCGGAGGA